rnacentral:lncRNA from 1 species
CAGAUAAUGGAGGCAUACAAUCUGGACAAGAAAAUUGGCUUCCAGGUGGAAAAAUCAAAAUUAGAAACAGAACUGUUAGAACCCAAAACUAAGAAUUUGUCAAGAAUGUAUAACUUGCUGCUGAAAUGGAACACUCAGGAUGAAACGGUGAAAUCUGCUAUGAUUAAAUGGGCACAAGACGUUGGACACAACAUUAUGUUUGCUGACUGGGAACAGUUAUGGACCACAGGUAUGAAGUUUACGGCAUGUAAUGCCCUAAGAGAGAAUAUUAUGAAAAUGAUAUACAGGUGGUACAUAACCCCAGUUAAGCUUGCAAAAAUCUACCAUUUGCCUGAUAAUAAAUGUUGGAAAUGUAAAGAAACUGAAGGUACAUUUUUUCACCUUUGGUGGACGUGCCCAAAGAUUAAGGUUUUCUGGGAGAUGAUAUAUAAUGAAUUAAAAAAGGUAUUUAAAUAUACCUUCUUGAAGAAACCAGAGGCCUUUCUCCUGGGCAUAGUCGGCCAAUCGGUGUUAAAAAGGAUAGAACUUUCUUUAUGUAUGCAACAACAGCAGCAAGAAUACUCAUCGCAAAGUAUUGGAAGACACAAGAGCUACCCACACUGGAGGAAUGGCAGAUGAAAUUGAUGGACUAUAUGGAAUUGGCGGAAAUGACUGGCAGAAUCUGUGACCAGAGAGAAGAGUCGGUGGAAGAAGAUUGGAAGAAAUUCAAAGAUUACUUACAGAAAUAUUGCAAAAUUAAAGAAUGUUAGAGUGAUGUUGGAUUGAAAUUAAGUGGCUUCUCGCUGUACAGGCUUUAAAGUUACAUAUAGAUCAAGAUUAAGGAUUAGGAUUAAAAAGGAUAAAAGAAUGGAAAAUUGGUUUUUAAUAGGUAAAAAUUUAAUGUUAUAUUAUAUUAAGAUUAAGGAUUGGGAUUAAAAAGGAGGGAAAGGAAUUGCUGGACAAACAAACUGAAUUGGAAUACAAAAGAGGGAGGUAUGAGGAGGUCCGGGAAAUAAGUAAAUGUAAAAGUAGUGAUGAAAAGAUGGAAUUGUUUUUAACUGUUUUUUCUUUUUUCUUUUUGUAUCCUGUAAUGUGUAUUUUUCUUUUUCUUUUUAAAUUCUUUUUUUUUAUUAAUGUGUCUCUUUUCAUGUGAAACUUUAAUAAAUAUCAUUUAAAAAGAAAAAAAAAGAAAAACUGUUAUACAGCUUUAGGAGACAGGCAGAUCCGUACCUUGUUAACCAGGCCUUUGGCUGAUUGACAUGUAACGUCCUUUUAAAACGUCGUGGGGAGGGGGGGUUAUAGAUGUUUAUUUUUUUUUAUAUUGUGCUUUUAUGUUGUAACCAUCCUUAGACCUGUGGGUGCAGGGAUUAGGAGCCUACCCUUAGAGGCCGAGGGGUCUUUGCCCCCCAAUAAUAUAUUUGAAGGCCCCCCCCCCAGUUGCUAGUCAUCGCAAUUCCAAGGGCAUGCUUGCAUCAUGUGAUUGAUUGUGCAAGGCAGGCCUUACCUGGCCCCUCCCACCAAUAUUUUUUUCAAUUCAGCACCACUUGGUCGAGUAUUAUACAAAUUAAAUAAAGACAUACUGUAAAUUGCCUUCCUUUGCACAUGUUCCAGCUUGUCAAUAUCCUUAUUUAUUAUCAUUUUUUAAUAUUUAUGUGCCCUUCAUCUGAAGAUUUCACAAUAUAAACAUAGAAGAUGAAAGCAUGGCUUUCUCAAAAACAAGUCAAGCCAGAGAAAUCUCUCCUCCCCUUUUUUUGGAUGAAGUUACAAACUUUGUUGAUCAGGGGAGAGCUGUUAAAAUAGCGCAUCUUGAUUUCAGUAAGGCUAUUGACAAAGUCCCCCCAUGAAAUAUUUACAUGGAAGCUGGUAAUAUGUGGGCUGAACGAGGAAACUGUUAUGUGGAUUUGACUGACCGAACCCAAAGAGGGGUCCUUCAUGGUUCCUCCUCAUCCUGGGGAAAAGUGACAAGAGGGGUGCUGCAGGGUUCUGUCCUGGGCCCGUUGUUGUUCAACGUCUUUAAAAAUGACUUGGAUGAAGGAACUGAGGGGAUGCUCAUCCCAUUUGCAGACGACACCAAAUGGGAAGUGGAGGCCAAUGUGGCAGAAGGCAGAAUCGGAUCAAGGGCAGGAAUAGUACCACUUUAUUCUGCCUUGGUCAGGCCUCACCUAGAAUACUGUGUUGAAUUCUGGGCAUCAACAUUUAAGUAUCCAAAAGGUGGGGGAACACAGUCCAUAUUCCUUUUAUAACAUGUGGCCAAUGUUUAUUGAAUACAUGUAUUUUUAAUACUGUUGUAGGAAUCCACCCAGCCCUCAGUAAUUGUUAUUAAACAUUAAAUAUGGGGCGCUUAAGCACUACCCGCCCCCCAAUCUCUCAGAGCGAAAAUACCUCUGUGGGCGGGAUCGAUAAAUAGGAUAGCUUGAAGAACACACCAGCCCUGUGUGUACCUAGAGAGAACCUCUGUAUAUAUAGGGAUAGUAAGUUGUCAUGGCAGUGAGUCGCAUAUGAGUGCAGUUCAUUUAUAAAGUUGGUUUUAUUCCAAGAAAAGAACAGAUUACCAGGAGCUCCUCUCCCGUGAGCUGGUCGCCAUUACGAUGAUGACUCAACUAAGUUCUCAGUGUCACGUUUCAUCCUACAAAUGCAACGUGGGAGGAAACUUCUCUUCAUACUCUGUGACGAAUCGCAUCCUUUUUCCUGUAAACCCCCCCCCCCCCCGCUCUUGAAUACUCAAAGGCUGGCCAGCCAUUUCUGAGAGGCUAUCUGUGGAGUUUGGCCUUUCACCUACAUUCUGGGAGAGUGUUUCCAUGACAAACCCCCCCUUUGCUCUGGGCCAUCUUCCAACCCUGGCAACUGCUUAGAAUCAGAAGCUUCCUGUAUCCUGACAUCAGUGUUUAUAUAGAGAAGAAAUAAAAAUGUCAACUAAUACCAAGAAAGGACAGCCAAACCCAACACUCCUUACUUUAACGGCAAGAUGCCGCUCCGUAGUGUUUGAGCUUAUUGUGGUGGUUUUUAAAAAAGAAUAAGCAGAGUAAAAAGAACAGGACUUUGAAAGGGAGAAGCUGCUGAGCUGCCUGCUGCUGCCUGCGUACUAAAAAUUUUGUGGACUGUGACUGGGUGACUUGACCUUGACACUUUGGAAUAGUUAUGGCUAAUGGGGUAGAUAAACCUGAGAAAAGCCAAGUUAAAGACAAAAGAGGCUCCAAAGACCAACUUUUGAAGAGUCGGUGAUGCAUAUGUUAACAGAAAUAAGAACAGAUGUUAAAGGAACCCAGCAGAAUGUACAGGAGCUAAAACAAGAAUUUACAGAUUUAAAAUCAGGUUUUCAAGAGGUCAGGGAAGAAGUUGCUGGUCACGGAAAAAAGACUGAUGGAAUUGGAAACAGUGAGAGUACUUGAUGUGGAGAGGACCCAACAGGAGGCGCUUAAUGCAAUUGCCUUCUUACAGAUGAAGGAACGUGAGAACCAACUGAGAGUGAGAGGCACACCUCAAUUGGAACAAGAUAAUCUUAAGGAUUGGCUAAAGGAGUUUGCAGCCUGCUGGGAUCUGGAAAAAGACGAGUUAAAUUCCUGGAUUGAGAUGGCCUAUAGGUUUGGGCCUAAGAAAGAUUCAAAAGUGGUAUAUGACUGUAUACUGGUUUUCAAGACAAAGGAAGAGAGAGACAGGAUUUUGAGCCUACAUUACGAAAAAGGUCGGAAGAUAAAAGACAAGCCAAUUGUUUUGUUCAAGGAGAUUCCAAAACACUUUUUGAAUUUAAGGAACAAUUACGUGGACCUGGCUGGAGCUCUGAGAAGGAAGAAUAUCUUCUUCAGGUGGGAGUUCCCAGAGGGCCUCUCCUUCAAAUUUCAAGGAAGGAAACAAAGAAUUAAGACUGUUGAAUAAAAAAUGAGGGUUUUGGGGAGGAAAAUGCUGAGGAACUUUGAUUGGAAAGUCCACAGGCAUCAGGGGCAGGUGCAGGGGCUCCCUAAUAUCACAAGAUAGCACUGAGAAUUUACUCUUGGAAUGUUAACGGCUUGAACUCACGACUAAAAAGGAUCCAAGUAUAUCAUGUGUUAGCAAAACAGAAUUUGGAUAUAAUUUGUCUGCAAGAAACUCAUGUCACCAGAUUACAUAGAAAAGUACUUCAGAAUAAGAGACUUGGACAGGAAUUCAUUUCAUCGGACAAAGUGAAGAAAAGAGGAGUGGUCUUCUAUUAAAGUAAAAUGGAAUCCUAGAAUGUUUAAAGAUGAGGAGGGAAGAUAUAUUGCAGUAGAAGUCAAGGCACAAGGCGAGAAAUAUUUGCUCUUGGGAAUUUAUGCACCAAAUGAUGGCAAAGCGGAAUUUUUUAAGAAUCUGGAAACAAGACUUCUGGAUUAUAUGGAUUACAAAUUGAUUUUGAUGGGAGAUUUGAAUGGUGUCGCAUCAAUGCUUAUGGAUAGAACACAGAGACAGAAAGUUAUGAAUUAUGGCAGACUACAGAAGGUCUUUUUUGAAAUGGUGGACAAAUUUGAUCUGUCAGACAUAUGAAGAGUGAGAAAUCCAGCAGAAAAAGCCUUCAUGUUCUAUGCCGAUGCAAAUCAAUCACCCUCAAGAAGUGACUAUUUAUGGAUAUCCAGAGACAUUGUUCCCACAGUAACCAAAGUUGAAAUAUGCCCAGACUCUGAUCAUAAUGCUGUGUUUUUGGAAAUGAAAAUAUUUCUGCAGGGAUCCUUCAAAUGGAGAAUGAAUGAUGAUUUGUUGAGGAAUGAACAGACAACUGGGAAAGCCCAAAAGACUCUUAAAGAUUACUUUGAGAUACGGAAUAAGAAAAUAGACAAUAUUUUGUCUCAAUUAAAAGAUAGAAGAAUUUGAGAUGUAACCCAAAGAACCUGCAGAUCCAAAAGGAAAUUAAAGCUUUACAGAUACAGUAUUCCCAGAAUAUAAACCAGGAAAUAGAAUGGAAAAUAAGGAUGAUGAGACAAAGGAAUUUUGAAUCUGCAAAUACAUGUGGAAAACUGCUUGCUUGGCAGUUAAAAAAGAGACAGAAACAAAGUACUAUUACUAAUAUUGUAUCAGAAGGAAAGUCUGUGGAGAACCUUGCAGAGAUAAGAAGAUGCUUUCAGAAGUAUUAUAAACAGCUGUAUAAAAGUGGAAAAGAAGAUAAAGAUAAAAUUGAGCAAUUUAAAUGGAUUGCAAAAAAUUCCCUAAGAUAAAAAGAUCCUGCUUAAUGGAUUGAUUACAAGACAAGAGGUUGAGAAUGCAAUAAAUCAGAUGCAGCUAGGCAAAGCACCAUGGCCAGAUGGUUUGUCAGCAAAGUACUAUAAGACCCUGAAAGAUUGGCUUAUUCAGCCAAUGAUGGACGUAUGCAACAAGAUAUUAAGAGGAGACAAAGCACCUGAAACCUGGAAAGAAGCUUUUAUAACCCUGAUGCCAAAACCAGAUCAAGAUAGAUCCAACGUGAAAAAUUAUAGACCAAUCUCACUACUCAAAGUGGAUUACAAAAUUUUUGCUAACCUUUUGGCCAAUAGGUUGAAGAAGGUGCUAACAGAUUAUAUUCACAAGGAUCAGGCAGGAUUUCUGCCUGGGAGACAUAUGAAAGAUAAUAUUAGGAAUAUAAUCAAUGUGUUAGAAAGGUUGGAUGUUAAAAAAAACCUCUAAAGCGAUGUUAAUGUUUAUUUAUGCUGAGAAGGCCUUUGAUAAUGUUUGUUGGAGUUUUAUGAAAAGGAAUUUAGAAAGUAUUGAGGUUGGGCAAGAAUUUUUAAAUGGUAUUAAUGCAAUCUAUUUUGAACAAAAAGCUAAAAUUAUAGUUAAUAAUGUGGUUUCAGAAGAAAUUAGAAUUGAGAAAGGAGGAGGAGGUUAAAGGAAUAACAGUAGGCUCUAAACAAUAUAUAGUGGUACCUCGGGUUAAGUACUUAAUUCGUUCCAGAGGUCUGUACUUAACCUGAAACUGUUCUUAACCUGAAGCACCACUUUAGCUAAUGGGGCCUCCUGCUGCUGCCAUGCCGCCGGAGCACGAUUUCUGUUCUCAUCCUGAAGCAAAGUUCUUAACCUGAAGCACUAUUUCUGGGUUGGUGGAGUCUGUAACCUGAAGCGAAUGUAACCUGAAGCGUAUGUAACCCGAAGUACCACUGUAAGUUAAAAGCCUUUGCUGAUGAUCUGGUGUUAACUUUAGAAGACCCAGACUCCAUUGCAGUGAAAGCACUGGAGCUGAUUCAGGAGUUCGGACAAGUAGCAGAAUUCAAGUUAAAUAAGAGCAAAACCAAAGUGUUGGGGGGGAAACUUAGAUAAUGAGGAGAGAAAAAGCCUUCAGGAAAGACAGGCCUUGUUUUUGUGCAGAAAGUGAAAUAUUUGGGUGUGAAUUUAUCAGUGAAAAUUUUGAAUUUAUAUAAAGAUAAUUAUGAGAAACUAUGGAAUGAAAUUAAGAGAGAACUUGAGAGCUGGUCAAAUUUAAAAUUGUCAUUAAUGGGCCGAAUAUCGGUGGUUAAGAUGAACGUAUUGCCAAAGAUGUUUUUAUUCCAAGCUUUACCAAUUAUUGACAGUGUUAGACGUUUUAAAGAAUGGCAGAAAGCAUUGUCUAAAUUUAUCUGGCAGGGGAAAAACCCCAGAAUUAAAGAUAAAAUAUUAACAGAUGCAAAAGAGAGAGAUGGAUUUUUCCUAAAAGAUUUGAAGAUUUAUUUUGAGGCAGCAGCUUUCUGCUGGAUUAAGGAAUGGAUUCAAAUAGAUAAUGCUGAUGUGUUAGAUUUGGAAGGAUUUGACAAUGUAUUUGGUUGGCAUGCAUACUUGUGGGAUGACAAGAUAUUGGCUCAUAAAGGUUAUAAAAAUCAUGUAAUUAGAAAAUCUUUAUAUAAUGUAUGGAUAAGAUAUAAAGCUCUCUUGCAAAGGAAAACACCCAGAUGGUUUUCACCAAUGGAAGCAAACGCACAGAAAAAGUUGAAUAUGGAGAGUAAAUGGUUGAAAUAUGCUGAUUUACUAGUGAAAGAUAAUGAAGAAUUUAAAUUAAGACCAUUUGAUAAAAUUAAAGAUAAAUUGGAUGGAUGGUUACAAUGUUAUCAGAUUAAUGAACUAUAUAAACUUGAUAAGAAAAAUGGUUUUGCAACAGAAAAAUCUAAAUUGGAAACGGAAUUGUUAGAUACCAAUGUUAAAAAUCUCUCUAAAAUGUAUAAUUUGUUGUUAGAAUGGCAUACAAAGGACGAACAAGUUAAAUCUGUGAUGAUGGACUGGGCAAGAGAUGUUGGACACAAUAUAAUGUUGGCAGAUUGGGAAAGGCUGUGGAAGAAAGGGGUUAAGUUUACUGCAUGCACUGUAUUAAAAGAAAAUAUUAUGAAAAUGCUGUAUAGAUGGUACUUAACCCUGGUGAAAUUAGCAAAGAUGUAUCAUACAAAUAAUAACUUGUGUUGGAAAUGCAAAGAAAAAGAAGGUACUUUCUAUCAUAUGUGGUGGACGUGUCCUAAGGUGAAAGACUUCUUGGAAAAGAUAUAUAAUGAGUUGAAAGAAAUGUUGAAAAAUACAUUUAAUAAAAAACCAGAAGCCUUUCUACUUGGAAUAAUAGGACUGGAAUUGCCCAAAAAAGAUGUUAGACUGUUUUUGUAUGCCGCUACAGUGGCAAGACUUUUAUUAGCCAAAAAUUGGAAAUCACAAGAGAUACCAACAAUAGAAGAAUGGCAGAUGAAGAUGUUGAACUUUUUGGAGCUGGCCGGCCUGACUGGAAGAAUCCGUGACCAGAAAGGAGACACAAGAGGACUGGAAGAAAUGUAAAGACUAUUUAGCUAAAGAUUGUAAUAUAAGAUAAAGAGAAAUUUCUUGGAAGUAAUAAUUAGGCUUAGGAGUAGAAUAAGUAUAUGUUGUUAAUAAACAUUAAGAAUUAGAAUAUUAAUAAAGUUGUUAGUAAAUGAAAGAAGUUAAUAUUAUUAGAAAUAUGAAUUUGGAGAACUGCUAAACAGGUGAUAUUUCAGGUAGAGGGGAUUCAAGGAAGUCAUAGAAUCAUAGAAUCAUAGAGUUGGAAUAGACCACAAGGGCCAUUGAGUCCAACCCCCUGCCAAGCAGGAAACACCAUCAGAGCACUCCUGACAUAUGGUUGUCAAGCCUCUGCUUAAAGACCUCCAAAGAAGGAGACUCCACCACACUCCUUGGCAGCAAAUUCCACUGUCGAACAGCUCUUACUGUCAGGAAGUUCUUCCUAAUGUUUAGGUGGAGUCUUCUUUCUUGUAGUUUGGAUCCAUUGCUCCGUGUCCGCUUCUCUGGAGCAGCAGAAAACAACCUUUCUCCCUCCUCUAUGUGACAUCCUUUUAUGUCUUUGAACAUGGCUAUCAUAUCACCCUUUAACCUCCUCUUCUCCAGGCUAAACAUGCCCAGCUCCCUUAGCUGUUCCUCAUAAGGCAUCGUUUCCAGGCCUUUGACCAUUUUGGUUGCCCUCGUCUGGACACGUUCCAGUUUGUCAGUGUCCUUCUUGAACUGUGGUGCCCAGAACUGGACACAGUACUCCAGGUGAGGUCUGACCAGAGCAGAAUACAGUGGCACUAUUACUUCCCUUGAUCUAGAUGCUAUACUCCUAUUGAUGCAGCCCAGAAUUGCAUUGGCUUUUUUAGCUGCCGCGUCACACUGUUGGCUCAUGUCAAGUUUGUGGUCAACCAAGACUCCUAGAUCCUUUUCACAUGUACUGCUCUCAAGCCAGGUGUCCCCCCAUCUUGUAUUUGUGCCUCUCAUUUUUUUUGCCCAAGUGCAAUACUUUACAUUUCUCCCUGUUAAAAUUCAUCUUGUUUGUUUUGGCCCAGUUCUCUAAUCUGCCAAGGUCGUUUUGAAGUGUGAUCCUGUCCUCUGGGGUGUUAGCCACCCCUCCCAGUUUGGUGUCAUCUGCAAAUUUGAUCAGGAUGCCCUUGAGUCCAUCAUCCAAGUCGUUGAUAAAGAUGUUGAAUAAGACCAGGCCCAAGACAGAACCCUGUGGCACCCCACUAGUCAAAGUCAGUUAUCAAUGAAAUGAAACUAGG